CAGACCUAGACCACUGAAUUGAGUUAUUGAUUCGUUUACUGUGUGUUGUCCCUGGCUGGAGUGAGAAAAAUGUCCAGGUUCAGCAGCAGGUUAUUGAAGUUGUUACUUUCAUAGCCUCUUCGUCAACCAAAUUUCCUAAGAAGUGUGUAGUGCUUUGCCUUCUGGGUAUAAGUGAGCGUGUCGCUGGCAUCAAGACUCGUGCUCAUGCCAUGAAGUGCCUUACUACUUUUUGUGAAGCUGUAGGUCCUGGAUUUAUUUUU